CACAAUUUCACAAGUCCAGCCAAAAAGCCGCACCGGUGUGGUUGAAAAUGAGCCACCGCCGCCGCUUCCUUCCCCCACGUCGGCGGCUUCUCUCCACCGCGCGCCGCCGUCCUCCUUCCCCGACGCCGGCCGCCUCCCUCCACCACGCGCCGCCAUCCUCCUUCCCCGACGCCAGCCGCCGCCUACUACCACACGCUGCCCUCCAUCCCCGGCGCCGGCCACCUCCCUUCACUACGCGCCGCUCCUCCUUCCCCGGCGCCGGAUGCCUCCCUCCACCACACGCCGCCCUCCUCCUUCCCCGGCGCCGGCCGCCUGCCUCCAUCACGCGUCGCCCCCUCCAUCCCCUGCGCCGGCCACCUACAUCCAUCGCGCAGAUCCCGCGCAGCCCCAAAACCUAAACGGCGCCGCCGCUGUCGUUCCUCACAGGAUCGACCCACCGCUAUCGCUCUGCUGCCGUGUACAACUGUACACGCAGUUCAACGCCUCAGCCCCAGGCCGUUCAAUGCCUCGCCGGCCUGCGGCUCCUCCAUGGACGCCUAGGUGCUCUACUAGAGCCACCGUGGCUGAUGGCAGCCCAUGGUGGAGUUCGUUGCGUCCAUCAGUCCAACCCCAUGGCUUCAGGGUGGACGAUUUUUGUCGCGGCCGUCAGUUCGGACACCUGUGUCACUGCGUGCGUUGCUACCACGGCCAUUUGCGUUACUACGUGCUCUGUCACCGGCCUUAUGCGCACCGUGACCCCUGGCGCACUCCUUCCUCUCCCUAACGCUGCUCGUGCCCUCCCAGGCUUGAUUUCCUGCUGCAGCGAUGAGCUCCUGUACAUUGCUGAAGUUCCGUACCUGACGGCACCAGCACGAGGAUGUAGCAGCCAGGCUGGACCCCGUGAACUGUGAUGCUCUACCGAUGGAGAGAAGUGUGGGAAACUGCACAAAUAUUGGUAUUUUGGGAGUUAUGAAUUUGGUGCUCCGUAGGUGCCUGCUCGUAUAUGCAAUUUUUAGGUGGGUGGUCCGACACCGCUGUGUCCAGCAGUCCAACACCGCCACUGAAGGCCGUUCAGUGUCGCAAUGCCUACUUUCGCCCGCGCCUCCUUCCCAGUCAUCGUGAGACCUGACGGAACAAGGCAGAACCUCUCUCUCGUACGCAGGAUGUUGCAACAGUUCGACUCACAGAGCUAGUAAGUUCGACGAAAAAACAGCACAAGGCAUGUCAGUUCACGCAGAGCAUAUCAGUCUUUCAGUUUCCUGAGCUCGCCAGUUCACCGACGGAAUCCGCAGCUCCCAGGCGGUUCACAGCCGCCGCCCUAGUCCGUUCGUCACUGCCAAUCGAGGUCGUUCGACAAUGCAGCGUUGAGGUCGGUCAACGACGCAAUGUGGCCAUGGAUGCGCCCAAUGAAGGACAGCGAAAGGCAAAAAACAAACUAGUGCAGCUGCUUGCCUCCUCUUCAUAUCCCAUACUAGAAAACAUCCUUCGCCCCCUCUGUUUUCUUAAGUAAGUUUUCAUUAAAAGACCUUAGAAUAGAAAGUAGAAGUUUGACAAAAGGACCUACAUCAGUUCAACCGCAGAAAGAUAACAAGUCCAUGGGAUGAUCUAUAAUUAAGUUCGAAAUUACUACAUGGUUAAUGUAUUUAACAUCAAGUCCAUGUAUUACUACAUGAGACUACAUCAGUUCUUAGGAAUUCUACUUCAGUUCAAUUUCUAAAUUUGGUUUACUUCAAUUCAGUUUAAUAUAUUUGUGUCAAUUUCUUCUUGUGAUGCUUAGACAUAGCUCAAAAUGCAGAUGCUGUUGUUUUAGAAUUUAUCAUUUCUGUAUGGAAUUAGGUGCGGUGUAUAGUCACUGCUGUUUAUUAAGCCACUUUGGUAGUACAUGAUAAAUACAUUAACCAUGCACCAGAUCCAGCGACCGGUGCCGCCCGCGCACCCAACAACCGGCGCCGCCCCCGAACC